GCACAACUUCCAACUCUUGAAGGCUGGUUCUGCCGCAGCUGUUUCGCAUACAUUAUUUCUAUUUUCUCUCGAUAAAGAAUCCUAAUAUUCCUAUGAAGCAAUGUUCUGGGCUAACAGGUCACCUACCCAGUGUCUCCUGCCUCUAGGAAUGGCCAGUGGGACAUCAGAGGAAAUUACUGGCAGAACACCCAGCAAAAAGACAGAGGACUGUGCCGGGAACAGCGUCCUUUGUGGAAUGCCGCUGUUGCUACCCCUUUUCCAGAGUGAAAUAUAAACCUGAUGGCUGACUCUCAGCAGCAUCCCAUUGCCUCGGGCAAAAAUGUGGAUGGUGCUUUGCACUGGGAUGAAUUCAGUUCCCAAUACUAGUCUUGAUUAAGCACUUUCAAACUCUUUCACAUAAGAAUGUAUAUAGGCCACAUCUGUCGGUAACUCCAGUUCCAGGGGAUCUGAUGCCCUCUUCUGACCUCACAGGCGCUGUACACACCUGGUGUGCUUACACAAAUGCAGGCAAAGCACUCGUAAGCAUAAAAUAAAAAUCAACCUUUAAAAUGCA